AGGACUAUCCUGGGAAGUUUACCCAUCCCGACUACUGGGAUUCUGUCUGCUGCCUGCUAUUCUACUGAGCCCUUUUCUCAAAGAUUAAUCUCGAGUUUUUAAACAGUAACCUCCUCUCUUCUUUUAAAGAUGAUGAGUCACUCACAUUUUUAAAAAAUAAACAAACCGCUGAUGUAAACCCCGGACAGAAACAGACUUGUUUCGCCUUCCUCACAGACACACACGCCCCUACUCCGAACCCAAGGAAAGAAUCGCUGAUCGGACUCCUUUCCGUUGCUUCCUUUUGAAGACUCUCUCAAUCCCCGAUGUAGGAUUUUAUGGCAAAGCAGGAAGAGGUGCCACUGAAGGUGUCUGAGGAAAAGGAACGCCGGGCACUCCUCCUCCAGCUCACCUAUGCACGUCCCAGUGUGGGAUGAGCUUAGAGCCAGGUGUAAACACUCGAGACUGUCCAGAGGUGAGCAUAUCCUCCAACUACCCACAGGGGAAGACGGGUUCCGCAACAGGGUCCGGGGAACGUGUCUGAGCGGAGGUAAGAACAAUCCAAGAAGGUUGUGGCAGUUUCUCUGAUGCAGUGCAACAGUGACCGGUUGGAUGACUGGAUACAACAAAUGACAUGUACCACCCAAAUGGCAUUCAGUGAAAAGCAACGUUUACAGCAAAGCAUUCUAUCACUUAGUGACUAAGAAUUUUAAAAUAAACAUGCAGUUCCUUUUAAACAGAAAUGGAAAAAAGAAAAAAAAAAAACUUCAUCAACUUACUGGCAAGGCUGUAACAUGAAAGUCCCCAUCUAUGGUUAGAUCUGAAUCCUGACGACUGCUUAUUUCAAAUCAAAGAUUCUAGAAGGAUACACGGUGCAUUCUAUUAUUUAAGGUGGAAUAAAUUAAUUGCAGGGAAAAGGAAUAUUUUGCACCUGAGAAUCGAUCAUCAGAUAGCUCCGUAUUCCUCAAGUUGAAAGAACCAAGGGUUUGCGAAACGCCUGUGCCUCCCCCGCCCCUUUUUGGCAAGGAAGUGAGAAAUCUAUGCAGAACACUACACGUCUACCUUUUAUAAUUAAUUUCCCAAUGCCUCACCUAUACGUAUUUUAAUAAUUCCUGAUUUAUAAGAUGGUAUCUGUAAUAAAAUUUUCUAUUUUCCAAUAAAUGAAAAGAAGGCAGGUUCACUCCAGCAACAGAGUGUCACGCAAUAUCUGCUUGUCAGGCACCAAUUUUUACUUCUUACAUGUAAGUUAAAGGAUAAGGAAUUUAUAAUGCUGCCUGUGAAGGGAACCACUUUUCAUACACAAAUGUGAUCUUUUUUUUUUCAAAGGGUAAUACAACAGUACAUUUACAUAAACUAAUCCAAACAAUCUAUGUAUUUGACAAUGGCAAACCUCACACAGACGGCCUAUUGUUGGUUUACAUCUUGGAGUUCUUUAUAUUGGCUUGUAGCGCUGCUCUAGCUGUCAAAGGUUUGACUUGGACACUAAAUAAAUGGUUAUAGAAGUGCUGUGCAGCGAUAUUGGACUUCUUUGCAAAAGAAAACCUGCUGUGUAUGAAUUCAAAAGCUAUUAAUUUUUCAGUCAAAAAUAUUCGUGCCUAUUUCUUUUAAUAAAGAAAUACUGUGCUGAACUA